rnacentral:tRNA from 1 species
AGAGUAUGUUGGACAAAAGGAAGCUGCUAACUUCCAUUUUUAGCGGUUUAAUUCCGUUUAUACUCUU